UUUGGAAGUUCUCUGAAGAAGGCAGAGAAAAGCAGAGAGCAGGGAACUGAGUCUUAAUCCCUGGCUCAACCAUAGUAGCCAGGGAACAAACACAGACAAGAGAAAAAAAGAAAAUAAACAAAAGAGGUAGGAAUAGUCAGGGAGGUAAUAGGAAGAGCAUCAAAACAAAGCAUGGUUGGUGCUGUGAUCCCAAGGAAGCAGAGUUUGAAGAAGCUGGGGCAGGGGAGCACUGAGUGGGUCAGUGAGAUAAGUGCCACAAAGGGCUGGAAGAAAAUGCUAAGUGUGAUUGGUGACCUCAUUGAGCUCCUGAUUUUGAAGUCUAAUUAUCCUUGUUAGUUACCAGCAGAGGGCAAUCUAAACAUAUACUAUUUCUGCUUAAAGAAGGGGCUCUUUGGCAAUAGAUUAUUCUGUUCCAUUUCAGGUGUUUAACGGAGAAACUCUGGGAAACCAGAUUGCACCAAGAGUAAGACAUUAGGAAUGGAACAGUUGGUGUACAGCGGAGAGAGCAGGGAAUCCAAAAUAAGAUCUGAGUUUCAGUACUGACUUUAUCACUCAUGCAACCUUUAGCAUAUCCUUAAUGUGUGUGGUUUUUUUGUUUGUUUGUUUUUUUGAAACAGUAUCUCGCUCCGUUGCCCAGGUUGGCUCAAUGCAGCAGCACGAUCAUGACUCACUGCAGCUUCAACCUCCUGGGUUCAAGCACUCCUCCCACCUCAGCCUCCCAAGUAGUUGGCACUACACGCCUGCACCCCUCUGCCCAGCUAAUUUUUUAUUUUUUAUAGAGACAGGGUCUUACUAUGUUGCCCAGGCUAGUCUCAAACUCCUAGCCUGAAGAAGUCUUCCCUCCUUGGCCUCCCAAAGUGCUGGGAUUACAGGCAAGAGCCACCACACUCAGCCACCUGAUUUUAUUGUUGGUAUUUAUAGUGGUAAAUGGUUUAUGUUGGGCUGAAAUGUGCUUCACUGUAAUUUCACUAUAACUUUAACAAUUUGAUCCUAUUUGGGCUCUCUCACAUAACUUAUAAUGAGUCUCCUCCCUCUUCUGCAUUGUAUGUUGUCAACUCUUUGAAGAGAAAUAACUGUUAUGCCUCUCCUUAGGUCUUCUCUUCUGCUGGCUAACUCUUUUGGUUUCUCAUGUAUGCCUCAAGUGGUGUUUUAUCUUAUCCUCAUCAUCCUUAUCACAAUUUCUUAUAUUUGUUUUUUGGGGGUUGGUUGUUUUUUUUUGGAGACAUGGUCUCAGUCUGUCACCUAGGCUGGAGUGCAGUGGUGUGAUCAUACCUUACUGCAGCCUUGAACUCCUGGGCUGAAAUGAUCCUCCUUCCUCAGCUUCCUGAGUAGCUGGGGCUACAGGUUUGCACUAUCAUACCUGGCUUUUUUUUUUUUUUUUUUUUUUUAAGACAGGGUCUCACUGUGAUGCUCAGACUGGUCUCAAACUGCCGGGCUAAGGCGAUCCUCUUAUGUCAGCCUCCCAAGGAGCUGGGAUUACAGGAACCA
rnacentral:lncRNA from 10 species